CCACGUAUACUCAACCUUCUCUAGAUACCCCAGCAUGUGUACUGCCGUUGUAAGCACACCUCUAAAAGAAUGAGUGUGCUUCUAUGAUUAAAUAAAUUUAACUCAUAUACAUCAGGUCAAAGUGCAGCCAAUAAGAAGGUGACGAUGGGUUACAACCCCAAAACAGACAAUAGACCCAGAAAAUUAAAAAUUCCGCGAAAAUGGACUUGGCCGUAAUCAAUUUACAAGUUAAAAAAGUGAAUAAAAAUCUAAGACAUGUACACAUCGCCCGUCACUCUAUCCUAAAGGUUAGAUAAGUCGUAACAAAGUAGGUGUAAUGGAAAUUGUACCUGUCGAAGUAUAGCAUAUAUAAUGCUUUUUACUUACACUAAAAAUAAAGUUAAAUAACUUGCUUCGCCCACGUAACAGCAUCCUAUAAACCACUAAUAAUAGAAACAAAUAAAUAAAUUUAUCAAGCAAGAUAAAGUACAGAAACGGAAACAACAAUAAAUAAAAGUAACUCUCAACAACUGUACCUUGUGCAUUAUGGUUUUACAAGAAAACAAUUAAUAUAUAAAUCCCGAAUUCUUAAUGAGAUGUUAAACUGCUGUCAUGAACCCAUUAAUAACUGUAGAAAAAGUUUUAAAAGACAGUUUAACAGAGGCUACAUACCAUUCGCAUAAGAAUAUAGCUGGUUUUCAACAAACAUUAUAUAUUAAAGCAUAUAACUGUGUUAUACUGUAAUAUUAUUGAGGAUAAGCCCAAUAAUCUAAGCAAUUAAAACAUCAAAUCUAUUUUAUCCCCUAGGCCUAAAAUCAGCCAACUAAAAUACUUUAUCGUAAUAAAUAUAGAUACAAUAUGUAAGCCGAUCAAUGCUAAAGAAAGUUGAAACAGUGGACAAAUCAACUAUUCCACCUAUACUAUGUAAAAAUAAGUAUUAGUAAUAUAAAAACAAAUUAACCCAGAAAUCAACAAUAUAUAACCAACAAUAAUUAAUUAAGGAACUCGGCAAACUCUUAUUUCGACUGUUUAACAAAAACAUUGCCUCAUGGACAAAUA
rnacentral:rRNA from 2 species